UACGUAGGGGGCUAGCGUUGUCCGGAAUCAUUGGGCGUAAAGCGCGCGUAGGCGGCCUGGUAAGUCCGGUGUGAAAGUCCAGGGCUCAACCCUGGAAAGCGGGUGGAUACUGCCGGGCUAGAAUCCGGAAGAGGCGAGUGGAAUUCCUGGUGUAGCGGUGGAAUGCGCAGAUAUCAGGAGGAACACCAAUGGCGGAGGCAGCUCGCUGGGACGGUAUUGACGCUGAGGCGCGAAAGCGUGGGGAGCGAACAGG
rnacentral:rRNA from 1 species